GGGACAGUGUGUGCUGAUCAAGCAAAGGAGGUGUCAUCAGAGUCCUUUUUUGUGCUACCGCAUCACCCCGUGGGAAUCAAACCCGCAAUCCUUGUGUUACAAGUGCAACACUCUACCAACUGAGGCACAUGGAACUCAGACUACACCAUGAGUACAGCACCCUCAAGUCUGCGUGUCUCUCAGUUCACUUCCUCACUCUACCGGAGGUCCCACUUCGGGAAGAUGAUUUCAAGUUUGUACGUCUGGAUGGCAGUAUAAGAAAGAAGAGAAAGGAGUUCCAGAGAGACACACCCACCAGCCCAUUGAACAAGCAGCUUUCAUUUAUAACUUGGGAGGUGGGCCUAAAGUCAACCUCACAUUUGCCUCUCAUCUUUCCUCAUGGACCCAGCCUGGAACUUAACAACAGAGGACAGCUGUAACCACUUUGGCCAGAAGAGGGACAUUGUCAUCAUUAAGUUUAUAUAGUAGAGGACAACAUGGUGAGGAUUCAGAGGCAGAAGUAGGAUUUGGCAGAGGAGGCUGUCGGGCCUCCCCAGUGAGAGGGUGAUGUCUCAUAUAGCUGAUAUUCAAGCCCUAAAGGCAAAUGGUAUUUUCAUUUUGAUUAUUGUUCCAAUUCACCUUUCACCAAAGUUUAGAAUAGCAAAGAAUAGGGAAUAAAACCUGAUUAUUUCAACUGCAA